rnacentral:rRNA from 1 species
AUACGGAGGGUCCGAGUGUUAUCCGGAAUCAUUGGGUUUAAAGGGUCCGUAGGCGGGAAUCUAAGUCAGUGGUGAAAUCUUGCAGCUCAACUGUAAAAUUGCCAUUGAUACUGGAUUUCUUGAAUUAGUGUGAAGUGGUUAGAAUGUGUAGUGUAGCGGUGAAAUGCAUAGAUAUUACACAGAAUACCAAUUGCGAAGGCAGAUCACUAACACUAUAUUGACGCUAAGGGACGAAAGCGUGGGGAGCGAACAGGAUUAGAAACCCCGGUAGUCC